CAGCCAUGGAGCUGCCUGUGGCAGGGGAGUGUGGAACAGGCUCCAGACACGUGGGGCCGGAAUGGAGAUGGGUCUCCCUGGCAGCCGGGACUGAAGCUUGAAAUCAAUCCUGAACAAAUAUUAUAUUAAUUUCCCAACUCCAUCCCUCUUCUGGACCCAUCUCGCGGCCUUCCUCGGUUCUCUGUGGCCGAGAGCGUGGUGGUAUUGGAUCGCCUUGGGAGCGGACGAAGGCUGGGGGGAGCGGAGCGGGGGAUAUGAUUUGCAAUCCACGAGGGUCCUACAAGUCA